rnacentral:tRNA from 1 species
CCCCGAAUGGCGGAAUUGGUAGACGCGCUCGACUCAAAAUCGAGUACCUCACGGUGUGUGGGUUCGAGUCCCACUUCGGGGA